GGGUCUCUAGUUGUUUCAUGUGCUGAAAGCACUGUGAAGGUAUGAAAUUCAUCAACUGCUGAGUGCCUCUACACUCUGGGGCCUGGUUCUGACGAAAACAACGUGGCUGGUCAUAAGAAAGAAAACCUCUGCAAUGGCCGCUAAUCCGUCUCAAACCUGCCUUGUGGCAACAAGUAGUGGUCAAGGCGAUCGACAACUGCUUUUGUAGAG